rnacentral:rRNA from 1 species
AUACUAGGGAAUAGCCCGAAGAAAUUUGGAUUAAUGCCCUAUAGUAUCUUUUUAAGGCAUCUUAUUAAGAUUAAAGGUUACGGUAUGAGAUGAGUAUGCGUUCUAUUAGCUAGUAGGUGUGGUAACGGCACACCUAGGCUACGAUAGAUAGGGGCCCUGAGAGGGGGAUCCCCCACACUGGUACUGAGACAGGACCAGACUCCUACGGGAGGCAGCAGUAAGGAAUAUUGGACAAUGGGCGAAAGCCUGAUCCAGCCAUGCCGCGUGCAGGAUGACUGCCCUAUGGGUUGUAAACUGCUUUUAUAUAGGAAGAAAAACUUUCUCGUGAGAG